AUUUUAAACAUCAAAUAUAAAGAAUAAUUAAUAUUUUUUUAUUAUAA
rnacentral:tRNA from 1 species